GCAGACGACAAAUCGAAGCAACAGGGUUUCCAUGUUGGUUAAGUUUUGAUUUUACUGUAAAAAGAAAAACAAAAAAGAACCUAAUGACGGACACAGCAAGCCAUUUUAGCAGGUAACUUGUUACGUACGAUAUAAAGAGUUGUCUGAAAAUUGAGGAACAUCUUAUAAUGAAAUUUAAAGCUAUUAUACAGUACGACAGAGGGGAAAUAUGACGAUUGGUCAAAAAAUUACUCCCAAUAUUUGGGAUAGGAAAACCUCGAAACGUCGAGAAAUGAAAGAAAAAAAUUGCAGGGUUUUCUAUAUAUAUAUGGAGAUGCAUGAUUUUUUCACCUAUUUUAAAAGGUUAAUAACUCCUGUGUUUUUUGUCGAAAAUUUCUGAAAUUUUGCAGAGAGGUUUGCGUAUUUAGAAGGAAGUUUUUACGGAAGUUUUCAGGAAAAUCGGACCAUUUGUUCGAGAGAUAAUAACGAGGUCGAUAAAAUAUCCCCAGAGAGACAGAAUUAAUGAGGCCAACUACAGAUAGAGUAAGUUUCUCUUACAUAUAUUGACUAACAAAUCUAUAUAUUUUUUGAUUUUACUAAAUUAAUGGUUUCUUAUAUUAACUAAAUAAAAGUUCGAACCGUUAUUUUU